CAGCCGCCGCGGGAAUACAGAGGGUGCGAGCGUUAAUCGGAUUUACUGGGCGUAAAGCGUGCGUAGGCGGCUUCUUAAGUCGGAUGUGAAAUCCCUGAGCUUAACUUAGGAAUUGCAUUCGAUACUGGGAAGCUAGAGUAUGGGAGAGGAUGGUAGAAUUCCAGGUGUAGCGGUGAAAUGCGUAGAGAUCUGGAGGAAUACCGAUGGCGAAGGCAGCCAUCUGGCCUAAUACUGACGCUGAGGUACGAAAGCAUGGGGAGCAAACAGGAUUAGAUACCCGUAGUCCCUGUCUCUUAUACAC
rnacentral:rRNA from 1 species